AGGUUCGAUUAUGGCUCAGAUUGAACGCUGGCGGAAUGCUUUACACAUGCAAGUCGAACGGUAGAGGGGGCAACCCCUCGAGAGUGGCGAACGGGUGAGUAAUAUAUCGGAACGUGCCCAGUCGUGGGGGAUAACGUAGCGAAAGUUACGCUAAUACCGCAUACGAUCUAUGGAUGAAAGCGGGGGACCGUAAGGCCUCGCGCGAUUGGAGCGGCCGAUAUCAGAUUAGGUAGUUGGUGGGGUAAAGGCUCACCAAGCCAACGAUCUGUAGCUGGUCUGAGAGGACGACCAGCCACACUGGAACUGAGACACGGUCCAGACUCCUACGGGAGGCAGCAGUGGGGAAUUUUGGACAAUGGACGCAAGUCUGAUCCAGCCAUUCCGCGUGCAGGAUGAAGGCCCUCGGGUUGUAAACUGCUUUUGUACGGAACGAAAAGGUCUCUAUUAAUACUGGGGGCUCAUGACGGUACCGUAAGAAUAAGCACCGGCUAACUACGUGCCAGCAGCCGCGGUAAUACGUAGGGUGCAAGCGUUAAUCGGAAUUACUGGGCGUAAAGCGUGCGCAGGCGGUUAUGUAAGACAGAGGUGAAAUCCCCGG
rnacentral:rRNA from 1 species